rnacentral:misc_RNA from 1 species
AAGUCGUAACAAGGUUUCCGUAGGUGAACCUGCGGAAGGAUCAUUAACAAGUAUCCAACGUUAAACCCCCCCGUGAACCUUCAGUGCGCUCGCACUUUCUUAGAAAAGGCAGUCACGAUCGCUAGAGGCCGACACGGCCGGCGACCGGGUCACUGGGCGCGAGCCCCCCUCGUCACCUUUGCAUGAAAACGGGCCUGCGCUUAAUUGUGCGGCCACCAAACUCGAACAACUGUUAACAAUGGAUAUCUUGGUUCUC